rnacentral:rRNA from 1 species
UCAAGAAACUUCCACAAUGGGCGAAAGCCUGAUGGAGCGACGUCGCGUGAUGGACGAAGUGCUUCGGCACGUAAACAUCUUUUAUGUGGGAUGAAAUUAUUGACAGUACCACAUGAAUAAGGGGCUCCUAACUCUGUGCCAGCAGGAGCGGUAAUACAGAGGCCCCAAGCGUUAUCCGGAAUCACUGGGCGUAAAGGGUGUCGAGGCGGUUGUAUUAGUCGUUCGUAAAAUCUACGAGCUUAACUUGUAGGCGGCGAACGAAACGGUACGACUUGAGGUUUGGAGAGGUGCGUGGAACUCACGGUGUAGGGGUGAAAUCCGCUGAUGUCGUGGGGAACACCAAAGGCGAAGGCAGCGCACUGGCCAAAAUCUGACGCUCACACACGAAAGCUAGGGUAGCGAAGAGGAUUAGAUACCCUAGUAGUCCCUGAGCGGGCUGGCAAGGCGCAU